rnacentral:rRNA from 1 species
CCAAUAGCGUAUAUUAAAGUUGUUGCAGUUAAAAAGCUCGUAGUUGAAUUUCGGGAUCAAUGUUUCGGUCAUGCCGUUGGUAUGUACUGAUAUUAUUGGUUUCUCACCUUCUAAAGAACCGUAAUGCCAUUAAUUUGGUGUCACGGGGAAUUAGGACUGUUACCUUGAAAAAAUUAGAGUGUUUAAAGCAGGCUAACGCUUGAAUACAUUAGCAUGGAAUAAUGAAAUAGGACGUUCGAUCCUAUUUUGUUGGUUUCUAGGAUUGACGUAAUGAUUAAUAGGGAUAGUUGGGGGCAUUAGUAUUCAAUUGUCAGAGGUGAAAUUCUUGGAUUUAUUGAAGACUAACUACUGCGAAAGCAUUUGCCAAGGAUGUUUUCAUUAAUCAAGAACGAAAGUUAGGGGAUCGAAGACGAUCAGAUACCGUCGUAGUCUUAACCAUAAACUAUGCCGACUAGGGAUCGGAUGAUGUUAAUUUUUUAAUGACUCAUUCGGCGCCUUACG